rnacentral:rRNA from 1 species
UACGGGGGGGGCAAGCGUUGUUCGGAAUUACUGGGCGUAAAGGGCUCGUAGGCGGCCGUCUAAGUCAGACGUGAAAUCCCUCGGCUUAACCGGGGAACGGCGUCUGAGACUGGAGGGCUUGAGUUCGGGAGAGGGAUGCGGAAUUCCAGGUGUAGCGGUGAAAUGCGUAGAUAUCUGGAGGAACACCGGUGGCGAAGGCGGCAUCCUGGACCGAGACUGACGCUGAGGAGCGAAAGCCAGGGGAGCAAACGGG